GUGUGUGUGUGUGUGUGUGUGUGUGUGUGUGUGUGUGUGUGUGUGGUUAAUCUGAAGGUACAGUGUAAAACAAAACAACAACAAGAGAUUACUUGCCUUUUUAAGAGUCACAAAUAAAAGAUUUUAUUAUUCUCUCACAUGUA